CCCCGGGAGUCUGUGUUUAAUGAAACAGCUUUAGUGUUUUGUUACUGGCUUCUUAGGGCUUAAAUGCAGAGUUUGAAAUGAUGCCUUGUGGUUGAGUGAGUGUCUUCCUGCUGAAUUCAGCAGGCAUUCGGUGAAUUUGGGCUUCUGCAGGUGAAUUCAGUCUGGUGUUGUGGUUUUGUUUGUUUCUGUACUUGGGACAGUGAACCAAAUGUUCUUUUUCCCUCUCCGUCAGUGCUCUGAGGAGACCAAAUGUCCAGAAUGGUGCCGGUGACUUUGCUUGUGCACCUGCCGGGUAGAGGAGCAGGUUUGGCUCUGUGCAGCCCUGCUCCGGAGGCCGGCAGGGUGCUCUCUGGGUGCCCUGCAGCGCUGCCCUGGGAGCAGAGCAGCCCAUGCUGGGCUGUUCCUCAGGGCAGCUCUUGUGCUCUCUCUCGUCCUUUGCAGCGGAGGAGGCGGACCAGCUGAAGAGCCUGUUGCAGCCGAAGCGGCGCGAGCUGGCGCUGGACGUGCCGAAAGCAGAGGAACUGCCUGGGCUGCCAGAGAUGCUGAGAAAGGGCUGACGAAUUAGUGGUUACCACGACAACCUGUCACCUGUAGCUGAGCUCCACCCACCGCAUGUCCAAGGAGCUGCAGGUGAGGAACAAAGUGAAGCAGGAGCAGAAUGCCAGGCUGCAGCACCGAGGGAGAAUUGGAAGGAGCGCAGCUUGGAGGUGGCAGUGCUGGAGAAGCGUGUUAGUGAGCUGCCAGAGCACCUGGAGAAGAGAAAGGCAGCUCUGUCCCAGGGAGAGAAUGUACCAGUUUCUUCAGAUGGGAAUUCACCACAGCCAGUGGCUUCUGCUCCAAGGGGAGUGGCAGCAGUAGGUCCUUCUAUCCAGUCCUCUACUAUGCCACAUAUUGCUUCCAGACCUGAACUUUAGGUGAAAGCAGCAUUCUCAGGUGGGACGUGAGCCUUGCCGGGCAGCUGAGGGUCUGCUAAAAUCACAAACUCCGCCCAGCGUGGGAGCUGGGAACCGUUCACAAGCUAAAGCUCCUGCAGCUCUCCUAAAAACUAUACACCAGUGUGCGUUUGAGUUUCUAGAGUCAGUUUUGGGUCGUACCUGGUAACAAUCUGGUGCCUGGAUUUAACAACUAGCAAAGCCAAGUUUUGUGAUCAUGCAUUUUGGAAAUGACACGUGUAAAGGAUUUACCAUUAGCGUAGCUAACAUGGCUACAGGCUCUGAAGUUAGAACUUCAGAAAAGAAGGCUCCCUGCCAAGGUCAAGGAGGAGUCUUAGAAAGCUAAACAAGUUUUUUCAUCUCUUAUGGACACCUGCGAUGCUCCAAUUAACACCGGACAACAAAGUAUGUUUCUCUUAUAUAUCCAGUGCUGUGUGAAGAAGAAUCACACGUCCAGGUGUAGCAGCAGUAUAUAAUAAAUGUUCUUCUUCUAAUAAACGGACAUUUUGCCAACCA